rnacentral:rRNA from 1 species
GACGAACGCUGGCGGCGUGCUUAACACAUGCAAGUCGAACGGUAAGGCCCUUCGGGGUACACGAGUGGCGAACGGGUGAGUAACACGUGGGUGAUCUGCCCUGCACUUCGGGAUAAGCCUGGGAAACUGGGUCUAAUACCGGAUAGGACCACUGCCUGCAUGGGUGGUGGUGGAAAGCUUUUGCGGUGUGGGAUGGGCCCGCGGCCUAUCAGCUUGUUGGUGGGGUGAUGGCCUACCAAGGCGACGACGGGUAGCCGGCCUGAGAGGGUGACCGGCCACACUGGGACUGAGAUACGGCCCAGACUCAUACGGGAGGCAGCAGUGGGGGAUAUUGCACAAUGGGCGCAAGCCCGAUGCAGCGACGCCGCGUGAGGGAUGACGGCCUUCGGGUUGUAAACCUCUUUCAGCACCGACGAAGCGCAAGUGACGGUAGGUGCAGAAGAAGGACCGGCCAACUACGUGCCAGCAGCCGCAGUA